CUGUCUUCAUCUUAUGAGAAGAAAGAACUAGAAUUGAGAUCCUCUCAAGUUUCAUCUUCAAACAGUCAACAUUAACUGAACUAGAUGGAGUUGAGGCUCUUUCUGAUUUGUACAGGAAGCUACUCAAUGGAAUGCGUCUGCCUGGGUCUUCUGGAAUGAGAGCCUUUGGUUCUAGCAUGAUGAAAGAAUUUGUGGUUUAUCACAACUCUAGAUUAGUUUUCCAAAGAUAAAGAUGACCCAUCUUCACAGUUAAUUGGUAGCGUUAACAUCAAGACCUCGACUCUCACUUUAGAAAAAGAAAAGCAAGUAUCAA